CUUGCUUCUUUCUGAGAUGAGGUCUGGGCGAGUGGGAGAUUGUGGUCAUCUGUCAGCCCAGUGCUUUGAGGUAACAAUUAGGGCAUUUUCAGGCAAAAUAAUGCCUCCCAGAGGCAGAGGAACCACUACUUGAGUUUAGAACGCCAGCAGUCUAUGUUACAAACUCAUUGAGGUCUAGUACAAAUUUUAGUAUUUGAAGCAUUGAGAAUUAGAAGCAGAAAGAGCAAAGCAAAACAAAACAAAACUCUUUAUAUGUGCAAAGGGGAAGAAUUAGGCUAGCUUUCUCCUCCUUUUUCCCCUGGGAAAGAAAUUUGAAAGAGUUGAUUGCAUUGCAGAAGUUGAGAGAAGCUUCUACCCUCUCAAAGUGGUGGGCCUGGUGGACAUAUCCUGAGUGGGUGCCUGCCAGAGAGCACUGGACCCUGUGCUGGAAAGAGGGCUUUGUCAUCAGAGAACCGGAAAUCAGUCAUCUGGGCUCUGCCGGUGUAGACUGGGCUCGACUGGUAGCUGUGCUUCAGUUUGCAGCGGCCAGAGCAGCUCUGUUCCUCUGUCUCCAUCCUCCUGGACCAGCAGACUAGUCAGUGUCUGUUCUUCUUAUGCUGAUGGCAGAAGUUCAAGAGGGCAGGCACUUAGAAGGACGACAAGUCACAGCAGAUGCAAAAAUUCACAGGGUGUGUUGUGGCAAAUAGAAAUCCCAGGAGUCCGAGGAACUCCUUGAAACAAAAAUAUUUCCACCAAUGGCAGAACGCAGUACUCCUGUGCCUUCCUCUUGAAGCCUGAAAAACGCUCUUUCUUCACAUUGGAAGGGGGAAGGGACCUUCCUGACAUUGGCCUAUAUUACUCAGGAUGUAGCUCAAGAUGCAGAAGAUGGGCCUCCUGGUUAUACGAAAUCAGGACAUGGUGUGAACACUGAUCAGCCAGGGACUGACACAAAGUGGUCCCCAAAGAAGGAAGAUUGGACAGAAACAAGAGGCAACUGAGAAGAGCCACAUUUUUAGUGAAAUUCCACUUUGAUAAACCCUCUGGAAGAAAUAGUUUUUUACAAAGAACUUGGACUUGUUCGGGUAUCCCCCAGGCUUCCACACACCCCAGGAGACACGGGAAGCUGACCCCCCACUCCACAGUUCCCAGGAGUGAGCCUGAUUUAAUAAGGAUCAUCUUGUUCCUGCAGAGGAGAGAAAUGAGAAUGUACCAAAUUUCUAGAAGAGAACAGGAUUGCACGGCACCCUACAGGAUGGCUUGGCCUCGGCCUGAGGUUCACGGGAAUCUUCCAUUCUUUGCCUUUUCUGAGAGACUGGCUUACCAGAGCUGGAGUGUGAGCAGGGACUUAUAACAGCUAGAAGCUCAGCCUCCACAUCCAGCACCCAGGAGCUUCUCCACUCGGCCAGGAAAUUGCCCAGCUGGAUGGUGCAUGGGGAUUGCUCUCCUGGUCCUCAGAAAGGAAUGACAGCGACACCAGCAACAGCUGGCAUCUCUACCUGGUCAAAUAGCCAAGUGGUUAUGAAGGAGACCCUCAGUAACUAUCAGUGGUGGCGGUGGGAAUGGGGGGGGGGGGGGAGGGGAUUCUGCUCAGUCAGCAGGGUGACCUCAAAAUUGUGGGAACACAUCAUACCAGACACACACAAUUGCUAUUUGUGUUAAAAUUACACCAACACAACGGGUUGUUGUUAAAACUGUAGUUGCUGUAUAUUUAGAUUUAUUGAAGUAAUAAAGAAUUGGCUCUGC